AACUCAAACUUCAGUUUGAUUUACCAUCCACUGGUUACCAUUCACCAUCAGUAGAUCUAUUCCAAUUCACCUCAACCACUUUUGUAAGUAUCUGAGAGUACAAUGGACACGUGGCUGAGAGACACUUGGAAAGGACCAUGGUCCAGCAGCAGCUCCAGCUCUAUAUACGCCCGUAUCAUUUUCCUUCCGGAGCUCUAGUCUUUUGAAUUUGUCUCUUUCAUUUCUGUUGCUGCCUUUCAUUUCCAGUAGGUCCAUUUUUAUCAACUUAAAGAGAGAUGGAGAUGAAAAUGAUGCAAUCCAGAUUCAAGAGGAUUUGUGUGUUCUGUGGGAGUAGUUUGGGAAAGAAGAGCGGUUACCAGGAGGCUGCUAUCGAGCUUGGGGAAGAAUUGGUUUCUAAGGAUAUUGAUUUGGUUUAUGGAGGAGGGAGUAUUGGCUUGAUGGGUUUGAUUUCCCAAGCUGUUCAUGAUGGUGGAAGACAUGUCCUUGGAGUUAUCCCCAAGACUCUCAUGCCUAAAGAGCUUACUGGUGAAACAGUGGGAGAAGUGAAAGAAGUACGAGACAUGCACUCAAGGAAAGCAGAAAUGGCUAAGCACUCUGAUGCCUUCAUUGCCUUACCUGACUGCCUUCUAUCUAACUUGUGCAACUUCUUUUAUUGUGUCUUUUCAUUGUAUCAAUGAAAUCUGAAAAUAACUAUUUUUAUUUCCUUAUUAAUAAAUGAAGGUGGAUAUGGAACACUUGAAGAGCUGCUAGAAGUGAUUGCAUGGGCGCAGCUUGGCAUUCAUGAUAAACCAGUUGGAUUGUUGAAUGUUGACGGGUACUACGACUCGUUAUUGUUGUUCAUCGACAUGGCUGUGGGAGAAGGUUUCAUCAGUCCAGAUGCGCGUCACAUAAUUGUUUCUGCUCCUACUGCCAAGGAGUUGGUGAAGAAAAUGGAGGAAUAUGUCCCGCUCCAUGAGAGAGUUGCUUCCAAGCUAUGCUGGGAAAAGGAGCAGUUGGGCAACUCCCCAUUGUGUGAUAUUUCAAGGUGAACAAUCUUAUAGGCACAAAGGGGAUAUUCAUGGCAUUCAUUGGUGAAAGGAACUAAUUUUAGAUGACUGAAAUGAACCUUUAUCUGCUAGUGUAAGCUGAAAAGAAAUCAUUUGACCUCAGCAAAUUAAGUAACAUGUUUAGUUAGUGUCUUCAAAUGAACUAGGCUUG